rnacentral:rRNA from 1 species
UACAGAGGUGGCAAGCGUUGUUCGGAAUUACUGGGCGUAAAGGGCUCGUAGGCGGCCAACUAAGUCAGACGUGAAAUCCCUCGGCUUAACCGGGGAACUGCAUCUGAUACUGGAUGGCUUGAGUUCGGGAGAGGGAUGCGGAAUUCCAGGUGUAGCGGUGAAAUGCGUAGAUAUCUGGAGGAACACCGGUGGCGAAGGCGGCAUCCUGGACCGACACUGACGCUGAGACGCGAAAGCGUGGGGAGCAAACAGG